AUUCGGCUGUGAUGAUCAUUACACAGCUUUUAUACCAGUUCUGCUUCAGAAAUUUCUUGGUAGAGAGAGCUGAUAGUUUUGUGUUUAUU